UGGGGAAUUUUGCGCAAUGGGGGAAACCCUGACGCAGCAACGCCGCGUGAGUGAUGAAGGCUUUCGGGUCGUAAAGCUCUGUCAGUGGGGAAGAAAUGGGACUGGCUAAUAUCCAGUCUUCUUGACGGUACCCACAAAGGAAGCACCGGCUAACUCCGUGCCAGCAGCCGCGGUAAUACGGGGGGUGCAAGCGUUGUUCGGAUUUAUUGGGCGUAAAGCGCGUGUAGGCGGUUUCUUAAGUCUGAUGUGAAAGCCCUGGGCUCAACCCAGGAAGUGCAUUGGAAACUGGGAGACUUGAAUACGGGAGAGGGUAGUGGAAUUCCUAGUGUAGGAGUGAAAUCCGUAGAUAUUAGGAGGAACACCGGUGGCGAAGGCGGCUACCUGGACCGAUAUUGACGCUGAGACGCGAAAGCGUGGGGAGCAAACA
rnacentral:rRNA from 1 species